CUUCACGUGCAGGUUAAUGCCCCGGGUCACUGCAGAUGAAUCCACUCCAGCUUUUCCGUCUCGCAGCUGCUCGCUGUGAAAUUCAAUUAAUGACUCCGCUUCCCAGUUCUCUCUCCAGGGCACAUCUUCCGGCCCGCUCGCCCUCUGCUAGAAAUAGGAAAAUGCUAUAAUAACACAACACAAGAAAAAAAAAAACACAGAGGCAACUUUGAUCACGCAUGCUCCCUUGGCGUCCAGCUCUUUUUCCCCCCACCACAUCAUUUCUCCUAAGUUGGAAAGUCAAGGAAAAGCCCGAGCGAAGUGUUGACCACAGUUAAACCAAUCAUUCGGGGAAAGCCAUCUCAUAUUUAAAAUGCCUGUGGUAUCAAGGUGAAGGGAUCAGCUGGCAGAGAUGUAAGUGUGUGGCGCGUUUCUGCAUGAAGAGAGACUGGAAGAGAAGAGGAGGAAGUGAUCGACAGACAGAGCUCAGUCCAGCUGGACACAACAAGAUGAAAUGAGCCUGUGAAUGGAGUGACUUGUCAGAAAGAGAGAACAAGGUAGGACAAACCAAGACCUCUGAGUAAUAACCGUCCUCACCUCUCAACCCGCUCACAGGAAAAUCAAGUAUUACAGCAGGAUCAAUGUGGCCAGGGCUGUAAAAAUUGACAAAUUAGUUAUUAGUUUCACAGCAUUUUUUUCUUCCUUCAGGCUGAUUAACUUACAGGGAGGGGUUGGAAUGUGUCACAUUCUUUCUCUUAUGGGUGUAGAGUGAAUUGUGUUUAUCUGGGCAAAGCAUGUUAUUGUAAAUGUCCAAUUAAAACUGAAAUCCAAGCAAUCAGAGCCAAAUCAGAGAAAUUUACCGUCAAUGCAUCUGUGUUUUUGAAUACUGGGGAAACCUCCUACUGAUGAUGCUUCUUGAAGACAGAAGUCAAAUUUGUGGGCAAAUAUUGCUAAGCAGCGAUUACAGAAGGAUGCCACAGAGUUUUUGAACAGUAAGCCAAACCAACCUGACCUCAUUAGAAAUUCAAAACUCUUACAAGUGAGUCUCAUGUCUCUCCAUUUCACACCAAUAAAUUCAAAAGAAAACAUAUGAAUGCUGACUUUUCAUACAACUUGAGUGCUAGAUAGCUUAGCUACAGUUGCCUUUCAGUCGUAGCUAUUUGAUUUUAGUACCAAGCCUA